CAUCUAUUUCUUCUCAUUGUUUCAUGAGGUGAUAAUUGUUAUCCUCAAAAUUCUGUCACUGAGAUGAAAGUCAAAACCAUUUCAUGGUAAUAGAACUUAUUAUAACUUAAACUGCUAUGGCAUAGCUUCAAAAAUUCAAAUUUUUCUCUAAUGAAUCUCAGAGCUGGAAAAAAAUCUGAGAAGUCAUUGAAUAAUAUCUUAAUAAUAUAGGCAUAAGAACUUGAAUAACAUUUUUCAUUAGUAUCAGAUGAGUGCAAACUUCUAAGUGAGGAAAUGCCUCUAACAAGUGUAGCUCAGCACCUUAUAGUCCUACAGAGACCCUUAAAAGCAUUGAAAGGUUAAGUAAAUUAACCAGAGACAAACAGUCAAUUCAAAUAAGAAUCUAAACAAGCCUUUAUUAAAGAAGGUCAUUGAAGAAGUCUAUGGUAUAAAAUCAGUUUUUUUCAGAAGUUGAUAUAUAUCUAUUUUUCAUUUUAUAUAUCUUACAUUUUCUCUAACUAGAGUAAGGCAUCUCAAUAAUAUAUGUCACAAUAGAAGUUGAAUACAUUCAUGUAACAUUAUUGAAAUCUAUUCGCAAUACCUGAAUUAAUAUAAAAACACAUUCCCACAGUGUAUUUAAUAUUUUUACACUGGUCAUGGCAUAUGAUAGGCUAUAAAGAAAAGAUCAAACCACUUGUUAAUUCCUUUCUAAUUUAGAAAUAGUAAUUUUCUUUUAGUAUAAUAUGGAUCAAAACAAAGAGUAGAUGACAGUUAAGUCAUUUUUAGGAAUAAUGUAAAGUUACUAUGGUUUCACAAUGCAUCAAUUGUAUAUCUUUCUCCACUAUUUGUAAAAUAUUAUUAUAACACACUUUUCUUCUCUUCUUUGAAAGAAAUAUAAAGAACUGGGCCAGCACCCUGAGUCAAGAAUCAGACUUUAUUGUUUUGGCACAAAAUACAGAAGUCAGAGGUCUGUGUGCCAGGCACAUUCUGCAGCAUGAGACAUCUGAUGUCCAAAUAACAAGGGUUGUAUCAGCUUUGGACAAUUGCUUAACAGAUAUAAUUGACAAAGAGAGUGGAGAAGAAAAAGAAAAUCCAUUGAGGAGGAGGAGAAAGAGGAAGAAGAAGAAAAAGAAACAAAAGAAGUAUAUAAGAGGAAAAAGGAGAGUAGGAAGAAAGAGAAGAAACACUUCAUCUUGCAAUCUGAGUCUAUCAUAUCUCUAUAUGGAGUUAGUCCUUUGGAAUUGUGGUGGGUAAGUGUUAAAAGUUGUUAUGUCUCUCAAAAUUGAUUAUUUUUCUUACAUAUUAUAUUGUU
rnacentral:lncRNA from 1 species